rnacentral:rRNA from 1 species
UACGAAGGGGGCUAGCGUUGCUCGGAAUUACUGGGCGUAAAGGGCGCGUAGGCGGCCUACUAAGUCGGACGUGAAAUCCCUCGGCUCAACCGAGGAACUGCGUCCGAUACUGGCAGGCUGGAAUUCGGGAGAGGGAUGUGGAAUUCCAGGUGUAGCGGUGAAAUGCGUAGAUAUCUGGAGGAACAUCGGUGGCGAAGGCGGCAUCCUGGACCGGUACUGACGCUGAGGCACGGAAAGCGAUGGGGAGCAAACAGG